GGGGGAUUAGUGGCGAACGGGUGAGUAACACGUGAGUAACCUGCCCUGGACUCUGGGAUAACUUCGAGAAAUCGGAGCUAAUACCGGAUAGGACCUUUCCUCGCAUGAGGUUGGGUGGAAAGUUUUUCGGUUUGGGAUGGACUCGCGGCCUAUCAGCUUGUUGGUGAGGUAAUGGCUCACCAAGGCGUCGACGGGUAGCCGGCCUGAGAGGGUGACCGGCCACACUGGGACUGAGACACGGCCCAGACUCCUACGGGAGGCAGCAGUGGGGAAUAUUGCACAAUGGGCGCAAGCCUGAUGCAGCAACGCCGCGUGCGGGAUGACGGCCUUCGGGUUGUAAACCGCUUUUAGUACGGAAGAAGGGCAGUCUUCGGGCUGUUUGACGGUACGUGCAGAAAAAGGACCGGCUAACUACGUGCCAGCAGCCGCGGUAAUACGUAGGGUCCGAGCGUUGUCCGGAAUUAUUGGGCGUAAAGAGCUCGUAGGCGGUUUGUCGCGUCUGCUGUGAAAUCCCGAGGCUCAACCUCGGGUCUGCAGUGGGUACGGGCAGACUGGAGUGCGGUAGGGGAGAAUGGAAUUCCUGGUGUAGCGGUGGAAUGCGCAGAUAUCAGGAGGAACACCGAUGGCGAAGGCAGUUCUCUGGGCCGUAACUGACGCUGAGGAGCGAAAGCGUGGGGAGCGAACAGGAUUAGAUACCCUGGUAGUCCACGCCGUAAACGUUGGGCGCUAGAUGUGGGGACCUUUCCACGGUUUCCGUGUCGUAGCUAACGCAUUAAGCGCCCCG
rnacentral:rRNA from 1 species